AUACGGAGGGCGCAAGCGUUGUUCGGAAUCAUUGGGCGUAAAGCGCGUGUAGGCGGCUUGGUAAGUCGGGUGUGAAAUCCCGGGGCUCAACCCCGGAACUGCACUCGAAACUGCCUCGCUAGAGUCCCGGAGAGGAAGGCGGAAUUCCCGGUGUAGAGGUGAAAUUCGUAGAUAUCGGGAGGAACACCAGUGGCGAAGGCGGCCUUCUGGACGGUGACUGACGCUGAGACGCGAAAGCGUGGGGAGCAAACAGGAUUAGAAACCCCGGUAGUCC
rnacentral:rRNA from 1 species